GCCUCCAUAGCUCAAUGGUCAGAGCGUGCGGCUUUUAACCGCAAGGUUCCGGGUUCGACCCCCGGUGGGGGCU
rfam:Emmonsia sp. CAC-2015a strain CBS 136260 supercont2.1556, whole genome shotgun sequence.